rnacentral:rRNA from 1 species
AGCAGCCGCGGUAAUUCCAGCUCCAAUAGCGUAUAUUAAAGUUGUUGCAGUUAAAAAGCUCGUAGUUGAAUUUCGGGAUCAAUACGUCGGUCGUGCUUUCGGGUACGUACUGGCGUCAUUGGUUUCUCCUUUCUGACGAACCAUGAUGUCAUUAAUUUGGUGUUAUGGGGAGUUAGGACUGUUACUUUGAAAAAUUAGAGUGUUUAAAGCAGGCAUUAGCUUGAAUACAUUAGCAUGGAAUAAUGAAAUAGGACGUUCGAUCCUAUUUUGUUGGUUUCUAGGAUCAACGUAAUGAUUAAUAGGGAUAGUUGGGGGCAUUAGUAUUCAAUUGUCAGAGGUGAAAUUCUUGGAUUUAUUGAAGACUAACUACUGCGAAAGCAUUUGCCAAGGAUGUUUUCAUUAAUCAAGAACGAAAGUUAGGGGAUCGAAGACGAUCAGAUACCGUCGUAGUCUUAACCAUAAACUAUGCCGACUAGGGAUCGGAUGAUGUUAAUUUUUAA